rnacentral:pre_miRNA from 1 species
UUUAAGUGCAUUUUGUUUUCCACGUUGUUUAACCCUUCAUCUUAUUUAAUUUUUUUAUGAUUAAUAAUUUUAUUAUUGUAGAUGAUCAAACUAUUAUAUUCCUUUAUGCAUGACUUAUUUUUCAUAAAUUUUUCAAAUAAAAUGGAGGGUCAGACAUUAGACACAGAAACCCACAAUUGCACCUAAA